rnacentral:lncRNA from 1 species
UCAACCUCUCAUGAACGGUGCCACCCAAAAAGGGUCAAAACGGGUUAAAUAAGCUCCCAAGCAGACCCUAAGAGUUUUGUCUCAUACCCUUGGAAUUCUCUUUGUAAUAUCUACUUACCUGUGUGGUGUGGAAUUUGUGACUCGCCCAAGGCAAGAUCUUAGUCUCUCGUGAUAACCACCAUGUAAUCAUUUCUCAUAGAAGCUUGGUGUACAAAGGUAUCUUUCUCUACUCUGAAGAUCGAGUAUAUAUAGUGAGCAAGGGCUUCUGGCCUUCUAUCUUGUGCUUAUUCAAAUUAGUUUCAAAUAUUAAUUUUAUAACGGUGGAUAAGUAAUUGUAGGGAAAAUGGAAAAGUAAGAAAACUUUGUGUUAUCAAUGAAAAUGCUGAUGGAAGUAUUUGCUUAAAAUGAAGGUCAGACUUCAUUGUUUGGGGAAAAAAACAAGGCAAAAAGAACCAAAAUGUGCGAACUGCUAGGAUAGAAAAUUUAAAUUUUGUGAAGUCAGUUGCUAUUAUGCUGAAUGAUAUAGCUUAAGAUCGUGGAUAUCUGUCUAAUGAGGGCUUAAAAAUUUAAACAGCACAAUCAGCAUUUGACAUAUCAACAUCAAUUGUUAAUCCUUC